rnacentral:lncRNA from 1 species
UUGCACCGAGGAAGGAUUGUGCACAUGUUUAAAUCCUACUAACACAAGAAACAAGAAGGUGUUAGAUAUUUUAAAAGGAUAAUAAAAAGCAAACAAAUGAAAACCUACAGCUAAGAAUCAAUAAAAAUUACUGAAAACAGAAAACCCGAAAAACUGUGGAGUAACUUGACAACUUCGUUCGAGGUGUUCCCGAUCUCAAAAAAUCACAAAAUUAAA